UACGUAGGGGGCGAGCGUUGUCCGGAUUUAUUGGGCGUAAAGCGCGUGUAGGCGGCCAGGUAGGUCCGCUGUGAAAACCCGAGGCUCAACCUCGGGACGUCGGCGGAAACCAUUUGGCUAGAGUCCGGAAGAGGAGAGUGGAAUUCCCGGUGUAGCGGUGAAAUGCGCAGAUAUCGGGAAGAACACCCGUGGCGAAGGCGGCUCUCUGGGACGGUACUGACGCUGAGACGCGAAAGCGUGGGGAGCGAACAGG
rnacentral:rRNA from 1 species